rnacentral:rRNA from 1 species
GACGUAGGGCGCGAGCGUUGUCCGGAUUUAUUGGGCGUAAAGAGCUCGUAGGCGGCUUGUCGUGUCGACUGUGAAAACCCGCGGCUCAACUGUGGGCUUGCAGUCGAUACGGGCAGGCUGGAGUUCGGUAGGGGAGACUGGAAUUCCUGGUGUAGCGGUGAAAUGCGCAGAUAUCAGGAGGAACACCGGUGGCGAAGGCGGGUCUCUGGGCAGUAACUGACGCUGAGGAGCGAAAGCGUGGGGAGCGAACAGG